AUUGAACGCUGGCGGCAUGCCUUACACAUGCAAGUCGAACGGUAACGCGGGGCAACCUGGCGACGAGUGGCGAACGGGUGAGUAAAGCAUCGGAACGUGCCCAGUAGUGGGGGAUAGCCCGGCGAAAGCCGGAUUAAUACCGCAUACGACCUAUGGGUGAAAGGGGGGGAUCGCAAGACCUCUCGCUAUUGGAGCGGCCGAUGUCAGAUUAGGUAGUUGGUGGGGUAAAGGCCUACCAAGCCGACGAUCUGUAGCUGGUCUGAGAGGACGACCAGCCACACUGGGACUGAGACACGGCCCAGACUCCUACGGGAGGCAGCAGUGGGGAAUUUUGGACAAUGGGCGCAAGCCUGAUCCAGCCAUGCCGCGUGCGGGAAGAAGGCCUUCGGGUUGUAAACCGCUUUUGUCAGGGAAGAAAUCCUUUGGGUUAAUACCUCGGGGGGAUGACGGUACCUGAAGAAUAAGCACCGGCUAACUACGUGCCAGCAGCCGCCGCAG
rnacentral:rRNA from 1 species